GGCGGGCGUCACUGUGGAGGCGAUGGGGGUGCCUCUGUCAGGUGACGGGACUGAGAGCAACCGUCAGGAAAACAACGAUACUGAUGACACUUAUGACAUCAUUAAUGACGACUGGUGAUGUCACUGUGCUACAUAGAGGGUUAGGAUACAGGCCACCUUCUUCAUCCUGCGAGCAGCGAGCGACACAAACUCAUCUCGCACCACUGGAGACAGCAGCUCAUCCUGACCACUGGAAGACAAGACGAGUACGUACAGUAUGUGUUUGUGAGUGAAAACACAACAGAGUUUACGUCUUCCCACGAGUCUUCACCUGUGAUUUACGCUCAGUGGAGCCAAAGCAUCACGUGACACACUGCAGAACACGAAAUCAUCCAUGUUUAAUUUUGUCUUCACACAAAGAAGAUGUGCAGAAACUUCCCCUGAAUCUACUUCUGAGGAUUUGAGGGGUGAAAGUUCUGGAUGAACAACUAUAGACUGUAACAGGUAACUUCUUGUGUGGUAGAUUUUAUUUGUCAAGUUUGGAACGGAAGAAGAAGUUAUUUGCUUGCAGCGUUGUGUAAGAAUUGAACUAUUACGUGUGACAACUGUGUCACCAGUGUGAAAGCAUUGUGGCGUCUAUCUAUGCAUCUUCAGUCGUAGAGAGAUGUGGAGUGGAGUGGGUCGACAGAUAAUCAGCCUGGUCAAUUAUUGGGCCGAUAUUAUGAAUUUCUAGGGUUAUGGGUAUCAGGGAUUUUUUCCACCAAUAUGCCGAUAUACAGUGUUCCUGAGCUGCUCUGUUUUGCCCCUGGCGUGCUUCUCACUGCCUGCACGCACCACUCUAGGCUCUAGGAAAUUUUAUUUUAUUUUUUUUAUUGUUUUUCUUUUUUUUUUUUUUAUUUUGUCUUUAUGACUAUCGUGUAUUUGUUUAUUUCUUUUCAUUAAUCUGUUUUUAUUUAGCUGGCAUAUUCUUCAACUUCGUUAUUUAUUUAUUCAUUUUUAACUUAUUAAUUUUCCUAUUUAUUGAAAGAUCUAAAAUUUC